rnacentral:RNase_P_RNA from 1 species
CGAGAACUGGGUAUCAUCGCUGGGGAGCAAUCCCUAGAGGAAAGUCCGGACACCGUAUGGCAUCGUAGCGGGUAACGCCCGUCCAUCGCGAGAUGAGGACAAGUGCAACAGAAAGUAUGUACAGGCGAGCAAUCGUGCUGUAGUGAAAACAGGUAAACUCUACGAGGUGCAAGCUCAUGUAGGUGAACGUUUGACUUCGGCCAGAAGAAGUUCACGGGUAGAGUGCUUGAGGUGAUUGGCGACAAUCAUCCCAGAGGAAUGAUGAUAGAAACAGAAUCCGGCUUACGCCAGCUCUCGACAU